UCACCUCUGCAGGUGGCCAGCCCCCAGGCUGGGCUGGUUGAGUAUCUCUUCUAAAGGCUCACCCUCAAGCACCACUAGGAGC
rnacentral:pre_miRNA from 1 species